rnacentral:rRNA from 1 species
CCUACGGGAGGCAGCAGUGAGGAAUAUUGGUCAAUGGGCGGAAUCCUGAACCAGCCAUGCCGCGUGCAGGACGACGGCUCUACGAGUUGUAAACUGCUUUUGUACCGGGAUAAAAUGCUCUACGAGUAGGGUUUUGAAAGUACGGUACGAAUAAGGAUCGGCUAACUCCGUGCCAGCAGCCGCGGUAAUACGGAGGAUCCGAGCGUUAUCCGGAUUUAUUGGGUUUAAAGGGUGCGUAGGUUGUUUUAUAAGUUAGCGGUGAAAUACCGAUGCUCAACCUGGGGGCUGCCGCUGAUACUGUAGGACUAGAGUGCGGAUGCGGCAGGCGGAAUGUGUAGUGUAGCGGUGAAAUGCAUAGAUAUUACGCAGAACACCGAUUGCGAAGGCAGCUUGCUAGGCCGGAUCUGACACUGAUGCACGAAAGCGUGGGGAUCGAACAGGAUUAGAUACCCUUGUAGUC